GUUCAAACACCGGUUUCCGUACGAUCAUCGAAGUUAAGCAACAGCGAACCUGGUCAGUAGAUAGACGGGUGACCACCAGGGAAUACCAGGUGCUGUAAG